UACGUAGGGUGCGAGCGUUGUCCGGAAUUAUUGGGCGUAAAGAGCUUGUAGGCGGUUUGUCGCGUCUGCCGUGAAAAUCCGGGGCUCAACCCCGGACUUGCGGUGGGUACGGGCAGACUAGAGUGUGGUAGGGGAGACUGGAAUUCCUGGUGUAGCGGUGAAAUGCGCAGAUAUCAGGAGGAACACCGAUGGCGAAGGCAGGUCUCUGGGCCACUACUGACGCUGAGAAGCGAAAGCAUGGGGAGCGAACAGGAUUAGAAACCCCAGUAGUCC
rnacentral:rRNA from 1 species